rnacentral:rRNA from 1 species
GACGAACGCUGGCGGCGUGCUUAACACAUGCAAGUCGAACGGAAAGGCCCUGCUUUUGUGGGGUGCUCGAGUGGCGAACGGGUGAGUAACACGUGAGUAACCUGCCCUUGACUUUGGGAUAACUUCAGGAAACUGGGGCUAAUACCGGCUAGGAGCUCCUGCUGCAUGGUGGGGGUUGGAAAGUUUCGGCGGUUGGGGAUGGACUCGCGGCUUAUCAGCUUGUUGGUGGGGUUGUGGCUUACCAAGGCUUUGACGGGUAGCCGGCCUGAGAGGGUGACCGGCCACAUUGGGACUGAGAUACGACCCAGACGCCUACGGGAGGCAGCGGUGGGGAAUAUUGCACAAUGGGCGGAAGCCUGAUGCAGCAACGCCGCGUGCGAGAUGACGGCCUUCGGGUUGUAAACCGCUUUCGCCUGUGACGAAGCGUGAGUGACGGUAAUGGGUAAAGAAGCACCGGCUAACUACGUG